AUGUAUUACUGGCAUUUGUACAUUGUUGUCCUGAUAUCUGAACUAUUUAUAUUUCAGAUUGAAAUGUUCUGUCCGUUUUGUGCUGUGCAACUGGGGGACGCUCCCAAGUUUUGCCCGUCGUGUGGUCUGAACGUGGGGUUCCUUACGGAGCGUCCAUCCACGUCAUCAAGCGUAGGCCAUGGGCCUACAGAGGAUGACCUAAUACGUGCCUACUUCAGAAAGGACCACUCCAACGAGAUUAUUAGAGAUUUUUUGGAGUCAAAGCAUGGUAUUGUAAUGAGCCUGAAAACUCUAAAAAGAAGGCUGAAACGGCUAAACCUAAGUCGGAGAGCAAAUUACACUCCACUGGAGACUGUGAAUGCUGCCAUCACUACUGAAUUGAAUGGCUCAGGACAGCUGUUGGGCUACAGGGCUAUGUGGCAGACGCUGCGACAGAAGCAUUCACUGACAGUAAAACGAGACAAUGUCAUGCAAGCCCUCAGAUUAUUAAAUCCAACAGGAGUAUCUCUCCGUCAUAGGCGCAGAUUUGUUAGGCGAUCCUAUUGCGCCGCAGGACCCAAUCAGGUGUGGCACGUGGAUGGCUAUGACAAGCUCAAGCCCUUUGGGAUUGCCAUCAGUGGCUGCAUCGAUGGGUAUUCAAGGCGGGUUAUGUGGCUCAGUAGUGGUAGCACCAACAACGACCCUGCAGUAAUCGCUCACCAUUACCUGCAGUGUGUUUCGAGCUAUGGCCUUCCGGCUCGUCUUCGGACAGACUGUGGGACAGAAAACGGAGACAUGGCUGCCAUCCACUGUUCUUUAAGAGAGGACCACACCGAUGAAUUUGCGGGUUCUGUCAGCCACAUGUAUGGCACUUCAACUGCCAAUCAAAGGAUUGAAAGCUGGUGGUCCUUUUUCAGGAAACAGAGGUAUGUUUUCAGGUGUUAUAGAGGGUGUGAAAUAGAAGACUUACACACAUAUACACACACAUACAUAUUUUUCAAUACUGUUUGAUAUUUCUGUAAUCUUUUCGUAAUAUUAUGCUGGGUUGGCACCAUACAAAGAUGACUUUGAAAAUGUAGGCUUAUUUAUAUGAGCGUCAUUCAUGGAUUAGGCUGUGUACUGUCGAUUGUGCAAUAGUUAUGACAAGUAAAAGGAUUAGUGUGCGUGGUUGUUUCAAAUUGUAAUAACAAGAAACAAGUGUUGCUAGUCCAACAUUCUGCUAGUGAAUGCAGUGCAGAAUGUUGUUUUCCAAGACGGUCACAUAAUUUUUAAAGUAUUUGUGUUAGAAACAUUUAUACAAAACUGAAAUCACUGUGUAUACUUUAACUCCAUUAUUAGGACACAGUUCUGGAUGGAUUUAUUCAGUGACCUGAGAGAGAGACAUUACUUCAACGGCACCCAUGAACACAAGUGCCUUGUACGGUAUGUGUUCCUGGGCAUCUUUCAGAAAGAGCUUGAUGAGCACCGAGAGCUUUGGAAUAACCAUACAAUCAGGCCUGUCCGUCAGUCUCUCUGUCCAUCUGGGAAACCGGAGACCAUGUACCACCUGCCUCACAGGUUUGUUUGUAGCACCUGUAUUGUCAUUCAAUAAAUGUUUGGUUGUUUUCA
ensembl:lncRNA